rnacentral:misc_RNA from 1 species
GAUGAAGAACGUAGCGAAAUGCGAUAAGUAAUGUGAAUUGCAGAAUUCAGUGAAUCAUCGAAUCUUUGAACGCACCUUGCACUCCUUGGUAUUCCGAGGAGUACGCCUGUUCGAGUGUUAUGAAGCUCUCAAAACGCAAUUGGCUUAAAACCUGAUUGUUGUUUUGGAUUUGAACUUUGCCGUGUUAUAACGGCUGGUUUUAAAAGUAUUAGCUGGUACUAGAACGAAUUGGUUCUACUCAACGUGAUAAUUAUCUGAUCGUUGAGGACAUUCCUUUCACGAGGAAUGGCCAUAGUAAAUUCAAUGGACUGCUUCUAAUCUGGCUUUAAUUCUUUAUUGGAUUAACCACUUUUCAAAUCUGACCUCGAAUCAGGUGGGACUACCCGCUGAACUUAAGCAUAUCAAUAAGCGGAGGA